rfam:Octopus bimaculoides Scaffold11403_contig_67, whole genome shotgun sequence.
AUCCUAUGAUGAUAAAUCAUGUACCCCUCUGAUCUUCCGAGAUGGACAAACAAACACCCAUUAUUUAUCUGAGGAU